rnacentral:rRNA from 1 species
GAUGAACNCUGGCGGCGUGCCUAAUACAUGCAAGUCGAGCGCGUGAAACUAAACUGAUCUCUUCGGAGUGACGUUAAGUGGAACGAGCGGCGGAUGGGUGAGUAACACGUGGGCAACCUGCCUAUAAGACUGGGAUAACUUGCGGAAACGUGAGCUAAUACCGGAUGAAACCUUUUAUCACCUGAUAAGAGGAUGAAAGAUGGCUUUUAGCUAUCACUUAUAGAUGGGCCCGCGGCGCAUUAGCUAGUUGGUGAGAUAAAAGCUCACCAAGGCAACGAUGCGUAGCCGACCUGAGAGGGUGAUCGGCCACACUGGGACUGAGACACGGCCCAGACUCCUACGGGAGGCAGCAGUAGGGAAUCUUCCGCAAUGGACGAAAGUCUGACGGAGCAACGCCGCGUGAACGAAGAAGGUUCUCGGAUCGUAAAGUUCUGUUGUUAGGGAAGAACACGUACCAUUCAAAUAGGGUGGUACCUUGACGGUACCUAACGAGAAAGCCCCGGCUAACUACGUGCCAGCAGCCGCGGUAAUACGUAGGGGGCAAGCGUUGUCCGGAAUUAUUGGGCGUAAAGCGCUCGCAGGCGGUUUUUUAAGUCUGAUGUGAAAUCUUGCGGCUCAACCGCAAGCGGUCAUUGGAAACUGGAGAACUUGAGGACAGAAGAGGAGAGUGGAAUUCCACGUGUAGCGGUGAAAUGCGUAGAGAUGUGGAGGAACACCAGUGGCGAAGGCGACUCUCUGGUCUGUAACUGACGCUGAGGAGCGAAAGCGUGGGUAGCGAACAGGAUUAGAUACCCUGGUAGUCCACGCCGUAAACGAUGAGUGCUAGGUGUUAGGGGGUUUCCGCCCCUUAGUGCUGGCGGUUAACGCAUUAAGCACUCCGCCUGGGGAGUACGGCCGCAAGGCUGAAACU